CUUCCUGGGGGAGAUGGGCCACACCUUUACCUGCGGGGCCGGGCACUGCACAUCUGGGCUGGCUCUGCCCACACCUGGCCCAGCGAGUUGCACCCAGAGCUCCAGGCCUCACUCGGCCCACGGUCAAGAGAUUCACUCCCUCCACCCCCCUUGCUGGGCACGUAGGCACACGGGAGCUUGGACCGGAGACACACACCUGCACGGAGGCAGAUCCAGCGAGGGUGAGAUGCCGCCGCCCCCAGCCGCCCUGAAGGGCGCUCCCAGACACAACUCUCUGGCCACCAGGAUUUGCUCGGCUGGAUCCCUGGCUGUGUGAGGCUCGGGCGGGGCCCCGGUUGAAGAGCAGGGAGGUGGCCUGUGUAAGCGUACAGGAUCCCCACAGAACGGUUUGGGGUACACAGGGCUUGGGAGCAGUGGCCUGAAGGCCCGUUCUCUCUGUCAUCCUUACAAACGAGGACACGACUCCCCCAUUGCAGUGACAGUGAUCCUCAGCUUCCCAUUUCCGUCGGCGUGCCUGGCAUGGUGCUCAGCAUGCUCUACGCAUGGGCUCACGCUUGCCUCACAACUGCCCAGAGGUGGGCGCCACUUACACAGAGGAGGACCCUGAGGCUCAGAGAAGUUAAGGAACCUGUCCAUGGUCACUCAGUCGGUCAGUGGCAGACCUGGGAUGGAACUGCGGGCUGUCCUGGAGAUGCGGUUCUUAGGCACUCCGCUGGACUAGCUCCGAGUGCAGAACAGUCUCCUCACCCUCACCCAGGGGGCCUCUGCUGGGACCCCUGCUCAGUGCUCCACUGCCUUCCUUCAGGAAAUCCACGAGCAUGGAACCUUAGCUGAUCUAGUCCCUGACUCUCCCUGGUACUUCCAUUUGGAGUCCAGAGCAAUGUGCUGAGGGCUGGGGCCCAGGGGGCAGGAGAGGCUCACCCAGAGCCGGCCAGCCUGGGGGCAGAGCGGGGACUGGAACCCCGGCCUCUCAACUCCCAGCACAACCUGUGUUGGAGGGAACGUUCAAGGCCAUUUCUGAGCCCAUCUGUGGCCGAGCCGGGCCUUCCACUGAUGGACUGUUUUCAUCCCUCCAUCCCUCCGUCGAUGGUGGGGGCUGCCACAAGCUGUCAGCUCGCCCGGGGUGCCAGACACAAGUCUCAUCAACAGCUUCCAGCUUCUCUGGGCUUGCCCAGGCCUCAGGCUGUGGAGCCCUCCCAGCUCCAGCCUCCGUCCUGCCCAACAGCUGCACGCGGCGGGACACCUGGCCUCCCCGCCAGGCCACCCGCCCUUCUGAGACAACAGACAGCCCCGUCUCCUGCAACCGGCCGGCCAGCCGACCCUGGCCAGAAGCCUAACUGCAGACCCCAAGGUCCUUGGCGGCCAGGCUGUGAUGCUUAGUUCCCUCCGAGCUGGCUCAGUCCCUGUCCCAGGGAUGGAGGUUGCUAAAAACAAGGCAAAUGACCCAGUCUUGGAAUGUGCCCAGAGAUCUCUUCUCCAUCACUGCCUCUCUGGUUUGGUAGGGGUCCCAGGAAGCCCCUAUUCUUCCCGUCUCGGGCCGCGCAGAGACCCUUGGCUCGGAGCCCGGGGUGGAGCAGGAGUGAGCUGGGUCAUCCAGAGAUCUGCUUCGUGGCAACCUGAACCAUCACUACUGCAGAGAACAGGGAGUCCCCUGAGCCAGGCCCUGCAAAGGAGAAGCAGACAGGUCACCAGUGGUCACCACCCCUCUCUCCUUAGGUGAGACACAGGGAGGUGGUGGGCUGUUGUCCUCUUCAAGGGCUGGAAGGAGUUUCUUCCCGCCCCAGGGAGAACAAGGCCGGCCAGCGCCCGGCCGCGGGCUCUCCGAGGCCGGGUGUCCUGGUCCCUUCCCUCCUUCUAUCCCUGGCUCCCGCCCCCCAAGCAGAAACAGGUCCCUGCACGCCUCCAGCCCAGCCCGCAGCGAGGCGCAGCGAGGCGCGGGGAGCUCGCUCCUGGACUUCUCCGGAUUAACCUGCUGUUACGACCCCGAGUCCUUCCCGGUAAUGGGCUUCCUCCGCGACCUGUCAGCCGAGCCUGGGCUGCGCCCCGAGCGGCGCACCCCACCCCGGCCGCCGCCCCGCGCUCGCACCCCUUGCACUCUCGGGCGCCCCAGGCCGCCUAUGGGUGCGGACGCCGCCGCCACCCCGGACGCCUCCGGGCUGGGAGCCGCACCCGGACAGGAGGGGUGCCCAGGGGGAGGCCCGGGCCGUGGCGGCGGCAGCGGAGAGGGCGAGCGAGCCUCGCGCCCCGCGGCCGAGACACCUGCCGGGCGCCCCCGCGCCCGCUGCCCCGCGCCGCCUGGCACCGGCCGCUGCCCCCGGGGCCUGCCCCGCCCCGCCCCGCCCGGCCCCGCCGGGUCC